rnacentral:rRNA from 1 species
UACGUAGGGGGCAAGCGUUGUCCGGAUUUAUUGGGCGUAAAGAGCGUGUAGGCGGCCAGGGAGGUCCGUUGUGAAAACUCGAGGCUCAACCUCGAGACGCCGAUGGAAACCCCCUGGCUAGAGUCCGGAAGAGGAGAGUGGAAUUCCUGGUGUAGCGGUGAAAUGCGCAGAUAUCAGGAAGAACACCCGUGGCUAAGGCGGCUCUCUAGUACGGUACUGACGCUGAGACGCGAAAGCGUGGGAGCGAACAGG